UUUGCGAAUUUGUGUUAUUUUUACUUAAUUUGCCAGCACUGACAACACAUCGGGGAGGGGAGGCAGGUUCACACAUCUGGGGAAUAGCUCAAUUCCUAUAAUCUGAGCUGCUCAGGAAGGAUAUUUGAGGCUCGUAUCCCACUCUGUGUGGAUAAAUGGGAUUUGUUUCCCCCUCGGGUUGCAUGUAUGGGAUUUAUAACCCCCUUGGGGUGGACAGAUGGGAUUUAUAUCUUCCUCUAGUUGGAUAUAUGUAAUUUAGAUCUCCCCAGGUGGAUAGAUGGGAUUUAUAUCCCUAUGGAAAUUCUUUUCCUAUUUAAAAUUAAUAAUGAAUGAAUGUUUCUCUAUUGAAGCUUUUCUCCUGGAAAAUAAUCCUUGAAGAGAGCCUGUGAGCCACUGAUAUCCCUCAUGCCCAGGCGGGACAAUUGUGGGACAAGCAGUUGUAAAUAUUUACAUAUUGACUCUUUUAACUUUGGAGACACAAAUAACCGGAAACAUUUUGGCAGCAUGGUGACAGAAUUAAAAAAAAAAAAAACAAAAACCAGCAACCCAACAUGGGAGUCUAGGUUUGUUCCAGCUUUCUGUGAACUCCAUGGAGAAAAUAUUUCCCUGGGAUGGUUUGAUAAGGAGCUGCUGGAAAACAGCAGAGACCUGGAGAGCUUUCUGCUCGCUUCCCUUAAGGAGGUAACUGGGAAAGGUUCUCACAACUGCAGGGAAAAUCCUCUUUGUGUUAAAGCUGCUUAUCCCAGGGGUUUGCCAGGAGAGCUGGGUGGCUGCUCAUGGAGACACCACCACCCUCUGAGUAGGGUGGAAAAGGGUAAAUCUAGGAAAAGAACUUGUGAAAGAGCCAGGAGGAUGGUGUCACUUUGGGAUUAAAGAGGUUUGGGUGAAUAUUCCCAGCUUUGGGAGCAGGGAGGACAUGUCCAGCUGUCCAUCCGUGGUGUGUUUGGAUAUUGCUGUCCCAAAACAUCACUAGAAGGUGAAGAUUUGGUUUGAGGAUUUGGGAGUGAUUCAAUUUAUAUUUAGGUCCGGUUACAACAAACUGCUUCAUUUUCUGAGUCUGCAUUAGAGGGAUGGUUUGUAGAAAUAAACUCAUAACCUUCACCCACAUCUUUUAUUUUCCUUUAAUCGCUUUUUUGCUCCACUCCAGGGUUGGAAAUCUCGCUGCUGUGUGAUCCUGAACCAUUUUCCGGGGCGUUCUUGGCUUUUCUCGAUCCACCUUGAUGGCAGCACCAAGCCAGGAGGUGGCACUGCCAGGCAGCGCGUCCGGUCCCGCUCUGAACCCGCCUCCAGCCUUUCAGAAUCCGAGGAAACAGGAAAGGCCUGAAGGAUUGCUGAGCUGCUCUCACCAAAACCCUCAGCCACAAAAUCUCAGCAGUUCCAGAACAGAGACAGCACCUCGUGGAGAGGAUUUAUUUCAUCAUCAACACCUGGCAGUGUCCUGGUCACCAUCCCAGCCACAAGGUCUGGAAUGAAGGAAAAAGAGCGAACCCAACAGAAGAAUUUUUCCAGCACAUCCCAAAUCUGGUUCCCAGCUCCCCUGUGCUCUGCAGAAGGAGCUUCUCCCAUCUGUAGGGAGAUGUUUGGCAAAGGGUUAAAUGCCCAGGAAUGCUGAGCAGGAAGUGAAUCUCUUCAAACCCUCCUCCCCACAAGACCCUCCUCUCCCUCCUCCUCAAGAAUAACAACGAAACUCAAAAAACCCCAAGCCAAGCAGAAAUCUGAACUCGGUGUGAAGAAUCCCAGCAGGGCUGGGGUCAGCAGCUCGGCCAGGAGGCACUGGGGGAGCAGGGAAGGGUUAAAAUAUCCUGGGAUUAAAGGAGUGGGGAGGGAAGGGGCGAGGAAGAUCCCUGAGGAUGGUUCUGGCUUAUCAGAACCCUUGGCGUGGGAGCUGGAUUCAGUGGGAUUUGCUGGCUCGGGGCUGGGAAUGACUCCAGAACUGGCUGUGAUGGUCUAAGACUUGCAAAAAUUGGGAAAACUUGGAGAAUCCAUGAAAAGAAAGGGGCCUGGAUAAAAAGUGCCAUGAGGUACCAAAGGGGGGAAACAGCUGCUCCUCCCUGGCUGGGACCAGCUGGAACCUCCAGCAGCAUCCUGCAUCCCAGGUGCAGCUCUGGAAUUGUUUCUGGAUGGAAAAGGAAACUGUCCUGUUUUCCUCCUGGUGUUUUUUUUUUUUUUUCUUUUUGCCUUUUUUCUUAUUGAUUCUUCACAUCUGGCAUCACAGAACAAACCCAUUGCAGCCACAGAAAGGAGGCAGACCAAGGGGGCUUUUCCAUCUCCCGUCCCAAAACCUUGCUUCCUAUUCCCCCAAAUCCCUAUUUUGCUUUAUAUUUCUACUUUUACGUCUUUAUUUUUUUAAUCAUGAAAAGAUUUUUUUUUUUGGCCAAAAUUCAACACAACAACAGAGCAGCGAGGGAGGCACACCUUUCCUGAGGGAAAACUCAUCGUGUGAACCAAACCAGAGGGAAAAAGGAAGGAAAAGGAGACAAAAAGGAGGAAGAAGGAGGCUCCUGGUCCUGUGCUGAGGGGGCUCCAUCCCAGGGAUGCUCUGGGCACCCCGAGCCUGGUGCUGUGCAGGGGGGUCAGACCAAGGAGGAAGGUGCAGCUGAAGUCAGCAGGGCUCGGAUGUGCUGUGUCAUUUCCCAGCUUUAAUAGGCGGAAGUGAAACACGGAGGGAAAUUAAUCCAAGGCAGGCAGUGACUCUGAUUCUCCCCUGAACAAUGCCUCGUGCCCAGGAGAUGGCAUUCGCAGGAUUCCUGCGGAAGAGGCUGCAGGGGACAUUGUUUGGAGUUUUCCUCACAGGAGACGUGAAGAUGGAUGGAAAAUCUUCAUUUUCAGUGCCCAGCACUCCCCGUGGCACCGUCAGUCCAGAGGGAGGUGGAAUAAUCUGGAGGGAGGGGCUUUGGAGCCGUCCAGGCUGUUCUUGCUGGCUGAUGGAAUUUUUUAGUCUAAAUAAAGUUUU